UGAAUACGAGAUGCUACGGCGUCGAAGCAGUGUAUGUCAGACUUCCAAGAAAAGCUCGCAAUGUCAUAAAUAAAGAAUGCCUGUACCAUAACCGACACAGGUGGGUAGGUAGAGUAUACUAAGGGGCGCGAGAUAACUCUCUCUAAGGAACUCGGCAAAAUAACUCCGUAACUUCGGGAGAAGGAGUGCCUUCUUUAAGAAGGUUGCAAUAACAAGAUCCAAGCAACUGUUUAUCAAAAACACAGGUCUCCGCUAAGUCGUAAGACGAUGUAUGGGGGCUGACGCCUGCCCAGUGCCAGAAGGUUAAAGAAGUUGGUUAGCUUUUGCGAAGCUGAUGACUGAAGCCCUGGUGAACGGCGGCCGUAACUAUAACGGUCCUAGGGUAGCGAAAUUCCUUGUCGGGUAAGUUCCGACCCGCACGAAAGGCGUAAUGAUUUGGAUACUGUCUCGGAGAGGGACUCGGUGAAAUAGACUUGUCUGUGAAGAUGCGGACUACCUGCACCAGGACAGAAAGACCCUAUGAAGCUUUACUGUAACUUGAAAUUGAAAUUGGACUUUAUUUGCGCAGUAUAGGUGGAAGGCGUUGAAAGUAAUCUUGCGGGAUUAGUGGAGCCAUCAGUGAGAUACCACUCCUAUAAUGUUAGAUUUCUAACUUUGGAUCAUGAUCUGGUCAAAGAACAGUUUCAGGCGGGCAGUUUGACUGGGGCGGUCGCCUCCCAAAUGGUAACGGAGGCGUACAAAGGUUUCCUCUGAACGGGUAGAAAUCGUAUCUAGAGUGUAAAGGCAUAAGGAAGCUUGACUGUGAAACCUACAAGUCGAGCAGGGACGAAAGUCGGUCUUAGUGAUCUGACGGUGCUGAGUGGAAAGGCCGUCACUCAACGGAUAAAAGUUACUCUAGGAUAACAGGCUGAUCUCCCCCAAGAGUUCACAUCGACGGGGAGGUUUGGCACCUCGAUGUCGGCUCAUCGCAUCCUGGGGCGGUAGUACGUCCCAAGGGUUGGGCUGUUCGCCCAUGAAAGCGGUACGCGAGCUGGGUUCAGAACGUCGUGAGACAGUUCGGUCCAUAUCCGGUGUAGGCGUUAGAAUAUUGAGAGGAGCCUUCUUUAGUACGAGAGGACCGAGAAGGACAUACCUCUGGUGUACCAGUUAUCGUGCCAACGGUAAACGCUGGGUAGCUAUGUAUGGAGAGGAUAACCGCUGAAAGCAUCUAAGUGGGAAGCCCACCUCAAGAUGAGUAUUCUCAUC
rnacentral:rRNA from 1 species